rnacentral:rRNA from 1 species
GACGAACGCUGGCGGCGUGCUUAACACAUGCGAGUCGAACGGAAAGGCCUGCUUUCCCUUGUGGAUUGCGGGUACUCGAGUGGCGAACGGGUGAGUAACACGUGAGUGAUCUGCCCCCAACUUGGGUAUAAGCCUGGGAAACUGGGUCUAAUUCCCGAUAGGACUGCAGGGUGGUGCCUGUGGUGGAAAACGAUUUUCUAGUGGUUGGGGAUGAGCCCGCGGCCUAUCAGCUUGUUGGUGGGGUAAUGGACUACCAAGGCGGCGACGGGUAGCCGGCCUGGGAGCGGCGACGGCCACAUUGGGACUGGGAUCCGGCCCAGACGCCUACGGGAGGCAGGAGUGGGGAAGAAAGCAGAGUGGGCGGGAGGCUGAUGCAGCGAGGGCGCGUGGAGGAUGACGGGCUUCGGGUUGUAAGCUCCUUUCGACCGAGAGGAAGCCACCUGGUUGGAAGGGUGGUGACGGUAGUGGUAGAAGAAGCGCCGGCUAACUACGUG